GGCACAGUAGCUUAGUGGUUAGCGCUGUUGCCUCACACCUCCAGGGUUGGGGGUUCGAAUCCUUCCUCCGCCC